AUAACUGUGGNNAUUCUAGAGCUGAUNCAUGCCACCAAGCGCNGGACCUUACGGAAGGCGUGCUUUUAUUAGGAACAAGACCAACUCGGCUUGUCCGGCUUNGUUGGUNAACUCUNGAUAACUUAGCUGAUCGCACGGUCAUCGUACCGGCGACAGAUCCUUCAAACGUCUGCCCUAUCAACUUUCGAUGGUACGUUAUGCGCCUACCAUGGUCGUAACGGGUAACGGAGAAUCAGGGUUCGAUUCCGGAGAGGGAGCCUGAGAAAUGGCUACCACAUCCAAGGCAGGCAGCAGGCGCGCAAAUUACCCACUCUCGACACGAGGAGGUAGUGACGAAAAAUAACAAUACAGGACUCUUUCGAGGCCCUGUAAUUGGAAUGAGUACACUUUAAAUCCUUUAACGAGNANCU
rnacentral:rRNA from 1 species